UAGUAAUUCUACCCAACUCUUUUAGCACAGUUUAUUUUUUUGUCCACUAGGUAGAGCCAUUCGACUGGAAGAAUCUUGUUUGCCUUUUGACGACUCACAAAGACUUAACUGCCGCUCGCGAUAGAUGUUUUUGAACUCAACAGUAGCCUAGGUCCGUAGCAGAGAGGGUUAACGCGGAUUUAAUUUGAGAGAUCAACAGCUUUAGAACGUAACAGUUUUCAUGAGGUCAGACAUUUCCCAAAUAUUCAGUUUUAAGCGGCUGGAACGUUGAGACUGUUCGGGAAUCUUUUGAAGAGUUCCACAUGCUUGGCAGCGGAAGGCUUCUCUACUGUACUGCCGCAUCACCAGAACACCCUGGGGCCCCGCUUGUGUUUUUUAUCCACUUUGAAACCAACAAGAACACAGUGAACAAUAAUGAAGCAGGCCGAGCAGGGAGAGGUCACAAAGCUAACGAGAGGUCACAAAGCUAACAUGAACUUGAAGGAGAGGUCAUGAAUGCUAAGGAUAUGCAGUUGCUUCAGGCAUCCGUUUCAGUGAGUCAAGAGGAAGUAGCUGAUGCUGCACAGGGUUUUUUUCAGUCCAUGACAUAGACGAUGCAUUUGUGAUGAUAGGAUUUUCUGGAAAGCAGCAAUAGAACUCAUGAAACUGACACAUCACACACACUCUGCCUUCAAUCAAAAGAAUAUUUUCUAACAUGGCAACAUAUUAGACAAUUAAGCUUUUUGAAUCUUAAAUCUUGAAUCUUGAAUGGGACUGUGGACUGCAACAGCGUUGAGCCAGGAGCGCCUAGGCUUACAUACAUGCUGUCUCUCGCUGAGAAGAGUAUAAAGCAUGGCAAACAACAGGUUCAGUGCUUCACCGCUUGGCCCUCAGCAUGCUGAAAAGAACAGAUACAGAUACUAACUACAUCAAAAUGAUUGGAGAGUUGGUUACAUUUCCUGCAGUGAAAGAGCUGCCAUUGUGUGGAGAUCAGGACAGUAUACUAAUAUAAUGAUGAGGAGUGUUAAGUGUGUUGAUGGCCUGGCUGCUGGGCUGUUUGUGAAAUUAUACGAAUACACCCUUGAGAAGGA